rnacentral:lncRNA from 1 species
AUAUAUAAUAAUAUUUAUAUAAUAUAUUAUAAUAUAAUAUAGAAUAUUAUAUUAUAAUAUUAUAAUAAAUUAAUAUUAUAUUAUAUUAUUAAUCACUGAUCAAAUUGGAAGAAGAAGGAGCAGAAGAUAAAAUUAGUGUGCAAAAUUCAUCAUCAAAUCCAACAUUCAAUUUAGAAGAAGAUUCACAGCUUUCGUAACUAUAGAAUCAUCAAGAUUCUACCGAUAAACAUCAUCAAUCAACAACUUCCGAUCAACAAUAGGGGCA